rnacentral:rRNA from 1 species
UAGGCGAAAGCUUGACAGGGUUACUCUGAGUGAUUUCCGUUAAGGAGAUCUUUUGGCACCUCUAAAAAUGGUGCAGAAUAAGAAGUGGGCAAGUCUUGUGUCAGCCGCCGCGGUAAUACCAGCACCCCGAGUGGUCGGGACGUUUAUUGGGCCUAAAGCAUCCGUAGCCGGUUCUACAAGUCUUCCGUUAAAUCCACCUGCUUAACAGAUGGGCUGCGGAAGAUACUAUAGAGCUAGGAGGCGGGAGAGGCAAGCGGUACUCGAUGGGUAGGGGUAAAAUACGUUGAUCCAUUGAAGAACACCAGUGGCGAAGGCGGCUUGCCAGAACGCGCUCGACGGUGAGGGAUGAAAGCUGGGGGAGCAAACCGGAUUAGAUAACCGGGUAGUCCCAGCUGUAAACGAUGCAGACUCGGUGAUGAGUUGGCUUAUUGCUAACUCAGUGCCGCAGGGAAGCCGUGAAGUCCGCC